rnacentral:ncRNA from 1 species
UAAAUUAACGUUGAGAUAGGGGGGCCGAGUACCUAUAAAUCUGGGGAAUACUUGCGUUCGCAUCGCUAAUUACGUAGCAUCGCUCGAUCGUUAGGGGGGGCCAGGCCCCUGCUCAUAAUUUUCAUAAUAGAAUCCUCAUGUUCCCGGGCCUUGUACACACCGCCCGUCACACUAUAGGAGCUGGCCAUAUUUGAAGUCAUUACCCUUAACCGUAAGGAGGGGGAUGCCUAAGGCUAGGCUUGCGACUGGAGUGAAGUCGUAACAAGGUAGCCGUACUGGAAGGUGCGGCUGGAUCACCUCCUUU